UAUUUCGUUUAGAUAUUUUUCACUGACUACUUGUUGGUUUAAGCAGCAACAAGAACAACAACAAUUACAAUAAUAAUAGUGCUUGGCAGCGACGCUGGCAGAGCGGAAAAAAGCGUCAACAGCAACUGGCAUAAAACUAAACCCGACUCAAUUCAUUAUGCAAACGCGCGUGCCCCGUUUCGGUUGUUGUAUCGUCUGACCAGUUGAGUUUAACUCCGGUGGUCUAGCAACAGCAGCAACAACAGUAUUCUGUUAUUUAAACAAUGCAAAGGAAUGUUAUUAACAGUUUCAUUUUACACAAGCCGCGCCUUAACAGUACUAGCCAGCAGUUAACUUAGCAUUAACAGCAACUUAAAGAUCGCCAGCUGUUAAAAUCGCCCGC